GAGAGAUGGCUGAGCUGGUCUAAGGCGCACGACUGGAAAUCGUGUAACGGUUAAUCCCGUUCAAGGGUUCGAAUCCCUUUCUCUCC
rnacentral:tRNA from 1 species